AAUGAACGCUGGCGGCGCGCCUAAUACAUGCAAGUCGAGCGAGAAGACGUGGCAAUACGUUUGUAAAGCGGCGAACGGGUGAGGAAUACAUGGGUAACCUACCCUCGAGUGGGGAAUAACUAGCCGAAAGGUUAGCUAAUACCGCGUACGCUUCUUGGACUUCGGUUCAGGGAGGAAAGCGAUGCCGAGGGUAUCGCGCUCUUGGAUGGGCUCAUGUCCUAUCAGCUGUUGGUGAGGUAACGGCUCACCAAGGCUUCGACGGGUAGCUGGUCUGAGAGGACGAUCAGCCACACUGGCACUGCGACACGGGGCCAGACUCCUACGGGGAGGCAGCAGUAAGGAAUAUUGCGCAAUGGGCGAAAGCCUGACGCAGCGACGCCGC
rnacentral:rRNA from 1 species